UUAGCGGUAGGGGCUUGUCGGCCAGACUGGAGAGAACUCGAUGACGUGCUGAUGAGAGAUGCUGUGAUUUACGUGGACAGCAGAGAGGGAGCUGCAGUGGAGUCAGGAGAUAUCAUUCUGUCUGGGGCAGAAGUGUUUGCUGAACUAGGAGAAGUUUUAAAUGGAACUCGGCCUGCCUUGCGCAACAACAGUAUUUAAGUCACUGGGAAUGGGGAUAUAAGAUGCAGUUGCUGCUAAGCUUGUGUUUGACGAGUGGAAGAGCAGCCAGUGAGGGACAUGAUAUGGAGAGUUACCAGCCGGCAUUCAGUACAGAGAACAACUCUAAUGUCUAAAACUGAACACAA